GACGAACGCUGGCGGCGUGCUUAACACAUGCAAGUCGAGCGGUAAGGCCCUUUCGGGGGUACACGAGCGGCGAACGGGUGAGUAACACGUGGGUGACCUGCCUUUAGCUCUGGGAUAAGCCUGGGAAACCGGGUCUAAUACCGGAUAUGACUCCGCGGCGCAUGUUGUGGGGUGGAAAGCCUUGUGCGGCUGGAGAUGGGCCCGCGGCCUAUCAGCUUGUUGGUGGGGUGAUGGCCUACCAAGGCGACGACGGGUAGCCGGCCUGAGAGGGCGACCGGCCACACUGGGACUGAGACACGGCCCAGACUCCUACGGGAGGCAGCAGUGGGAAUCUUGCGCAAUGGGCGAAAGCCUGACGCAGCGACGCCGCGUGAGGGAUGACGCCU
rnacentral:rRNA from 1 species